CUUAUACUCCCUCCGUCUCAAAAUUCUUGUCUUAGAUUUGUCUAAAUUUGGAUGUAUCUAGUUACGUUUUAGUAUUAGAUACAUCCAUAUGUAGACAAAUUUAAGACAAGAAUUUUGGGACGGGGGGGGGGGGGG
rfam:Triticum aestivum genome assembly, contig: Triticum_aestivum_CS42_TGACv1_scaffold_569720_7AS